rnacentral:rRNA from 1 species
AGCGAACGCUGGCGGCAGGCUUAACACAUGCAAGUCGAACGCCCCGCAAGGGGAGUGGCAGACGGGUGAGUAACACGUGGGAACGUACCCUUUGGUUCGGAAUAACUUGGGGACACUCAGGAUAAUACCGGAUAAGCGCUUAUGGGGAAAGGUUUACUGCCGCAGGAUAGGCCCGAGUCUGAUGAGCGAGUUGGUGAGGUAAUGGCACACCAAGGCGACGAUCAGUAGCUGGUCUGAGAGGAUGAUCAGCCACACUGGGACUGAGACACGGCCCAGACUCGUACGGGAGGCAGCAGUGGGGAAUAUUGGACAAUGGGGGCAACCCUGAUCCAACCAUGCCGGGUGAGUGAUGAAGGCCUUCGGGUUGUAAAGCUCUUUUGGCGGGGACGAUGAUGACGGUACCCGCAGAAUAAGCCCCGGCUAACUUCGUGCCAGCCGCCGCAGUAA